rnacentral:rRNA from 1 species
UGCGUAGGCGGGGCAAUAAGUCAGUGGUGAAAUCCUGCGGCUUAACCGUAGAAUUGCCAUUGAAACUGUUGUCCUUGAGUAUAGUUGAAGUGGGCGGAAUAUGUAAUGUAGCGGUGAAAUGCAUAGAUAUUACAUAGAACACCAAUUGCGAAGGCAGCUCACUAAGCUAUUACUGACGCUGAGGCACGAAAGCGUGGGGAGCGAACAGGAUUAGAUACCCUGGUAGUCC